UACAGAGGGUGCGAGCGUUGUUCGGAUUUACUGGGCGUAAAGGGCGCGUAGGCGGCCACCGCAAGUCGGUUGUGAAAUCUCCGGGCUUAACCCGGAAAGGUCAAUCGAUACUGCGGGGCUAGAGUGCAGAAGGGGCAACUGGAAUUCUCGGUGUAGCGGUGAAAUGCGUAGAUAUCGAGAGGAACACCGGCGGCGAAGGCGGGUUGCUGGGCUGACACUGACGCUGAAGCGCGAAAGCUAGGGGAGCGAACGGG
rnacentral:rRNA from 1 species